GGCCAGGCUGUGUUUGUGUUCGGUGGGGUGGUCCUGCUAUGGUACGAACUGGGGCACAUUCUUUCCUCAUACUACCUGCAUUUGAAUGGAAAUGGAAGGCUGACGUCUGAAGAAGAAAGUGAAGUUAUGAUCCAGCGCACAGCAACAAGCAUGUGUGAAUAAUGAGGGCUCAUCCAUCACAUCAGUUGAACAUGGAUUGAAAAGCCAGUGAAGACAAAAAAGAUAUAGUGUUCCACUUCAUUGGUCGUUUGCUGUAGAGUUGUUGGACAAAUAAUGUACAUGUUUUGUAAUGUUACAAAAAAAAUAAAAAAAUAUUUUCA